UGCUCCCUGAUGUUAGCGGCGGACGGGUGAGUAACACGUGGGUAACCUGCCUGUAAGACUGGGAUAACUCCGGGAAACCGGGGCUAAUACCGGAUGCUUGUUUGAACCGCAUGGUUCAAACAUAAAAGGUGGCUUCGGCUACCACUUACAGAUGGACCCGCGGCGCAUUAGCUAGUUGGUGAGGUAAUGGCUCACCAAGGCAACGAUGCGUAGCCGACCUGAGAGGGUGAUCGGCCACACUGGGACUGAGACACGGCCCAGACUCCUACGGGAGGCAGCAGUAGGGAAUCUUCCGCAAUGGACGAAAGUCUGACGGAGCAACGCCGCGUGAGUGAUGAAGGUUUUCGGAUCGUAAAGCUCUGUUGUUAGGGAAGAACAAGUGCCGUUCAAAUAGGGCGGCACCUUGACGGUACCUAACCAGAAAGCCACGGCUAACUACGUGCCAGCAGCCGCGGUAAUACGUAGGUGGCAAGCGUUGUCCGGAAUUAUUGGGCGUAAAGGGCUCGCAGGCGGUUUCUUAAGUCUGAUGUGAAAGCCCCCGGCUCAACCGGGGAGGGUCAUUGGAAACUGGGGAACUUGAGUGCAGAAGAGGAGAGUGGAAUUCCACGUGUAGCGGUGAAAUGCGUAGAGAUGUGGAGGAACACCAGUGGCGAAGGCGACUCUCUGGUCUGUAACUGACGCUGAGGAGCGAAAGCGUGGGGAGCGAACAGGAUUAGAUACCCUGGUAGUCCACGCCGUAAACGAUGAGUGCUAAGUGUUAGGGGGUUUCCGCCCCUUAGUGCUGCAGCUAACGCAUUAAGCACUCCGCCUGGGGAGUACGGUCGCAAGACUGAAACUCAAAGGAAUUGACGGGGGCCCGCACAAGCGGUGGAGCAUGUGGUUUAAUUUCGAAGCAACGCGAAGAACCUUACCAGGUCUUGACAUCCUCUGACACCCCUAGAGAUAGGGCUUCCCCUUCGGGGGCAGAGUGACAGGUGGUGCAUGGUUGUCGUCAGCUCGUGUCGUGAGAUGUUGGGUUAAGUCCCGCAACGAGCGCAACCCUUGAUCUUAGUUGCCAGCAUUCAGUUGGGCACUCUAAGGUGACUGCCGGUGACAAACCGGAGGAAGGUGGGGAUGACGUCAAAUCAUCAUGCCCCUUAUGACCUGGGCUACACACGUGCUACAAUGGACAGAACAAAGGGCAGCGAGACCGCGAGGUUAAGCCAAUCCCACAAAUCUGUUCUCAGUUCGGAUCGCAGUCUGCAACUCGACUGCGUGAAGCUGGAAUCGCUAGUAAUCGCGGAUCAGCAUGCCGCGGUGAAUACGUUCCCGGGCCUUGUACACACCGCCCGUCACACCACGAGAGUUUGUAACACCCGAAGUCGGUGAGGUAACCUUUA
rnacentral:rRNA from 1 species